CUCUAUGACCUAAACCCUCCCCAGAAGCCCUCUCUGUGACCUAAGCCUGCCCCAGAGGCCCUCUCUCUGUGACCUAAGCGCUCCCCAGAGGCCCCCUCUCUAUGACCCAAGCCCUCCCCAGAGGCUCUGUCUACUGCAUACCAUCACUUUUGGGGGUUCAGAUUUCAACCUGAAUGGGGGGGGGGUCACAAACAUUCAGGCCAUAGUAUAGAUCCAUAAACAAAUACUCCUAUAAUCUGACAGCAAGAGCCUCCAAAGCAAGAGCAGCAGCUUCAAGUGUGCAGAGACACUCAGUUGUUUGAUUUCAAGCCACCAAGAAUGUUCAAAGGCAGUGCCUGUGCUGAAGAAGCCUAGGAACUCUGAGAUCCAGCCCAGUGAGCUGCGGCCCAGAGAGGUACAGGAAGGUAUCUCACCUGGGCAGUGAGAACACUUCUGCCCGCUCCAGGGCAACUGCUGGCUGUGCUCCUCCCCGAGGAUCUGGCCCUGCCAAGCUCAGCCCCAUUUCUUACCAGUGGCCAGGGAAAAUGGGACCAGUCCUGCUGUGCAAGCUGAUGACGGGCCACACCUUUCAUGCCAAAGCCCCUCCUAGAAGGAAACAAGUUCUGGGAGUUUAAGCCUCGGAGGCCAGAAGAGAAGCAAAGCUCCCAAAGGAGACAUGGGGCCUCAGGAUGACCCCAUGCCCCAACCAACAGCAAGCACAGCUGGGCUUGCAUUCCACACCUGGGGAAACUGAGACACAAGGAAGGAGCUGGGCCUAAGAGCUGUGUUCUGAGCCCUGGAAUGAGAAAACGGAAAUCAGGAGGCUAAAACUGAUCCUAUCAGGUGAGCCCCAGGAAACUGUCUCCCCAGCCAGUUAUGUGCAGACACUGGGCCCCCUGCCCAAUCCAGUUAUGGACUAAUGGUCCCCAGGACACUGCAAUUUAGGGAAGGAAGGAGGGGUUUCCUUCCUGAAUCCUAGGGAAAAAGAAACAACAAUAAUGGCCCAAAUGUUGAAGGCAAAAUAGCUUCCUCCUAGAAGGAAUGGUUUUAAGAAUCAUAGAAAGAAACAAAGACAGACAGGCUGAUACACUCCUGGACAGACCUAGGAGCAGCCAGAACCCUGCUGGAGAAACAUGCCAGGAAAGAUGCCACUUCCCUGACUUCUGAGAAUGCCCCCAGC
rnacentral:lncRNA from 1 species